ACUGCCAACAGCACAGGCUCUCUCUCAUCUCAGAGUGAGCUGGCUUCUCUGCCCUGAUCCUGAGCUGGGAGACCACAUGGAACCACACACUUACAGUAGGUGGCCCAUGGAAUGAGCUGGGGAAGACCAGCCAAUGCUGAGCAGAGCAUCAGAAACACAGAAGAACUGGGAUACAACGGGGAGGACCAGUGUUGAGAAGGCUGGCACCUGCAGGAGCAUCCCUGGAGAGCACUUCUGGGGGGCAUCCCUGGAGGGCACCCAUGGAGAGCACUCCUGCCUGUAGGGCACCCAUGGAGGGCACCCAUGGAGGGCAUCCCUGGAGGGCACUCCUGGAGAGUACACAUGGAGAGCACUUCUGGGGGGGGGGGCACCCAUGGAGGGCUGCUAGAAGAUUUAAAUGUCAGCUUGGGGCUCAUAGACUUUGAGAUCAACUUUCUGACUACAAAUCCUGCCUCACUC